rnacentral:rRNA from 1 species
UGGGGAAUAUUGCACAAUGGGCGAAAGCCUGAUGCAGCGACGCCGCGUGAGGGAUGACGGCCUUCGGGUUGUAAACCUCUUUCAGCAGGGAAGAAGCGAAAGUGACGGUACCUGCAGAAGAAGCGCCGGCUAACUACGUGCCAGCAGCCGCGGUAAUACGUAGGGCGCAAGCGUUGUCCGGAAUUAUUGGGCGUAAAGAGCUCGUAGGCGGUUAGUCGCGUCUGCUGUGAAAACUCGAGGCUCAACCUCGGGCUUGCAGUGGGUACGGGCUGACUANAGUGCGGUAGGGGUGACUGGAAUUCCUGGUGUAGCGGUGGAAUGCGCAGAUAUCAGGAGGAACACCGAUGGCGAAGGCAGGUCACUGGGCCGCAACUGACGCUGAGGAGCGAAAGCAUGGGGAGCGAACAGGAUUAGAUACCCUGGUAGUCCAUGCCGUAAACGUUGGGCACUAGGUGUGGGUCCAUUCCACGGAUUCCGUGCCGCAGCAAACGCAUUAAGUGCCCCGCCUGGGGAGUACGGCCGCAAGGCUAAAACUCAAAUGAAUUGACGGGGUCAUAGCUGUUUCCU